rnacentral:rRNA from 1 species
GUGGGGAAUCUUCCGCAAUGGACGAAAGUCUGACGGAGCAACGCCGCGUGAGUGAAGAAGGUUUUCGGAUCGUAAAGCUCUUUCGUUAGGGACGAACGUGCUCUUUGUGAAUAAUGAGGAGUAAUGACGGUACCUAAAUAAGAAGCCACGGCUAACUACGUGCCAGCAGCCGCGGUAAUACGUAGGUGGCAAGCGUUGUCCGGAAUUAUUUGGCGUAAAGCGCGCGCAGGCGGGAUAUCAAGUCUGUCUUAAAAGUGCGAGGCUCAACCUCGUGAGGGGACAGAAACUGGUAUUCUUGAGUGUCGGAGAGGAAAGUGGAAUUCCAAGUGUAGCGGUGAAAUGCGUAGAGAUUUGGAAGAACACCAGUGGCGAAGGCGACUUUCUGGACGAUGUCUGACGCUGAGGCGCGAAAGCUAGGGGAGCGAACGGGAUUAGAUACCCGAGUAGUCC